GGUUCACUCUUCAAAGCGUCGUUUUACUCUCGCAAAAUGUCGAGGAGAGUGAAAUGCAUUGUUCACUCUGUCACCAAGGAGAGAGUGAAAUGUGCUUUUCACUCUCCCCUUCAGAGAGAGGGAGUGAAAAGACUCUUGCGACAAUAGAAAAGAGAGACUCUUGCGGCAAUAGAAAACAAAACGUAGCGUAAUCUUCUGCUUCAACUGUAGGUGGCUGGCCCCGAACAUGGCAAUGUAUCAUUCAUGCACGCUGAGCAAAGAACACAUCGUUUUGCUUCUAACAGAACAGGCCGCCGCAGUUCAAAGGAACGCGUAGCGAGCGCUCUACUUUUUCACUCGGAGUGGCUCCAACGCGCGCGCGCGCGCUCAAGAUCGCGGAACAACACAGCACGGGAGAAAGAAGAUCCGUUCAGCGAGCAAAGGCCAGCCGAGGGAGAUCGUGUGUCUGCCAUCUCGCGUCGCCACGAAAACACGACAGUCGUUCGUCAUGCCUUGGAUAUAACAACAAAUCCUCCACGGCACCCGCUUUAUAUAACGCAAGAAGGCAGCUGCAAGGACACGAGGAUGUGAAAGAGCCAGUGCAGCGCGACUUCACGUAGUGCAGAGGAGCCAAUGCCAAAAAAUCAAAAUACAUUGGCAUGUUAUUUGGACAAGAAAACUAGGACAACCCAGGACAUGCAUUUCUCAGCACCCAGUCAACUGCCAAAAGUGACUCAAACACAGGCCACCAGUAAGUGGACAUCAGUUGCAAUUUCACAUUAUGCAGUUGGCGGCUGCCUUGUACGGAGGCUUUUUUUUUUUUAAUGAGAUGGUGAUGUCGUUCUAAUGUACAUUUUGACCACAAAGGUGCGAUCAUGUCUCACAGAGGCAUAUAUGGUUGCUAUUCUCUGCGAGGGACGUGUUCUCGUGUUCGUGAAGCAUUUGUGUUUGGCAGUAUUGUUGCCCAAUGAGUCGGAUAUAAACACUGUAACUCGCCACUGCCGGCAAGUAGUUGCGAGAAACACAAUAUAUUAUGACGCUGCAAAGUUACUUCAUGAAUUCGAAGGAAAGUUUUGCAGCAGGAAAAAAGGUUGCUAUUCCAGGUAAACAUGUCGUUUUCUCACAAGUUAUUUAACCAAACUGUGGAUGCGUGAAAUUCGUGACUUAUGAAUCGAUUUUAAUUCAUCCUUUAGUAAUGCUUCUAAAAGAGACUAGAAAUAGCAUGUGACUACCUCUGCAAUCAGCAGACCAUACAUUUACAGUCAUAAGUGGCAGUUCCAUGCAGUCUCGCACUUUAUAUAACCUUUCCUUUCAGCAACAUUGGAACUGGUGGCUGCGUUUUCAGAAGGAGAAGUGCACUUGACACUGUAUAUGUAUGUGUGAAUUCGGUUUUCUUUGUAUGUGUCGGCUCACUGACAAACAGUGCAAAAAUCUGUUGUACCAUGAGCCUGACGACGCCUUCUGCUGCUAGAAAUGCGGCACUUCGUAUUUUAUAGUACUGCAUGACAUUUAAAUCAAAGCUACCACAUAAAAUGAUUAAGAAAACUAACCGCUGUUAUAGCUGUUUUCCUCAAAGAACGCUUGUCCUUUAUGGGCUGUGUUAAUCUGAGCUCUCCACCGAUGUUUCAGUAGUAUUAUCCCUUAAUGAGUGAGAGAUGGGGGCAAUUGAUCGUGUUAGUGUUUAAGUGGUGUCCUAAGUAUGUGUUCCAAAAAAGUUGUCUAGAUUACUUUAUUGUGUAGUGUAAAGCUUAUGAAACCAUCAGCAACUACUGAGUUGCUAACACGCAU